GGGCUCAUGCAGAGGUCCUGAGACAGUAGCUGCCUUGGAAUGCACGGCACAGCAACAAAGGCAGUGUGCAGCAGAUGGAGUGAGACAGACAGAGAAGGGACGAGGAGACAGAAAGGCAGCAGGAGUCUGCACAGAAUGCUUUGGAUUCCCGAGAGCUGGCUUCCUUUGUGUGUUGUCACUGACUCCAGACCAGCUGCUCGCAGCACAGCCUGGGAGACGUUUCCCUUUGCACUCAACGACACAGCUUCAUUUUCGGCCGAGCUAUGGAAAGGCGUGGAUGUCCUCCCUGCC